UUGAUCCCCUCUUCCGUUACAAACCCAGUACCACUGAAUCCUCAUUUCAUUUAAUCUCCUCUUCCGUUAAAGAAAUAAAUUAGGGCUAUUUCAAUUCCUUCGAAUCAUUUAAUUUGAUGCGUUACGGUAGCUCUAUGUUCCCUUACAUAAACCUCAACAGAGUUUAUCAUCUUCCCAUGUUUCUCCAUUUCUUUCUUCCCUACUCUCUCUAUCUCUCUCGAGACUAUCAGAUGAUGGAAGCGAUAUGAUUUGGACCAGCAGACUAAUAUGGCCGCUGAGUUAGAUGGUCAUUUUCAUUCGAGCUGAACUCUACUUGAAGGUUAAUAUCCAUCUGUGAGUAGUUAUGAAGAUCAGCCUGGUGAAGAUGAAUUGUUUAUGGGAGGUUUUUGGUUGCACAAGCCAUGGUUUCUGUGAAGAACUUAAUGUUUAGAGAGUAUUCACCAAACCUUCAAUACUGCGCAGGUUGAUGCAUUUAUUAAUCUUGGAAACAAGAAGGUCCUGCAAUCACGGGAGACAAGGUUGCUGGAGUAGCUUCUCAAAAUCUUUUAUGUGCAGAUUUUAUUGGGUGAGUAGUGGAAAUAUACUCGAGCUGAACUCUUCUUUUCUCUCUUACAAAUACAGCUUUACAUUUUGGAUGUUAGAACAGUUGUUUUCUGUUGUUUAAUUGGGACCUUGCAUCUCCACAAUCUUAAAUGUAUAUAGUUCCAGUUCGAGUUAUGAAGAAUUUACUGCUGGGUGUGGAGAAAUAAAUUGAUGAUAUUCUCUGGAUUCGGAGAUUCUCUAUUAAAGCCGGAGCUUCUUAGAGCAAUUGUUGAUUCGGGAUUUGAGCAUCCAUCUAAAUGUAAUUUACUUUUACUUGGAUUCUUUUAUGUCUUUGAUUUAACAAAGUUUUACUUGGAUUGGCUGUUUUACUUCCAGAGGCACCCAGAAAUGACUGGAGUUAUAUGUGAGCUAAGUUAAUCCUCCUUUGUAUGCCUGUAAGAUGCUUAAGAAAGAUGGAUCUCUCCUGGAAUUUGUGGUGUGCCUAUACCGAAUCAUGGAACAGGCAAUCAGUGUUAUGGGUGGCUUUGUAACAUGAUGAAUGCAAAGGGUAACGAGAAUUCAGUCAGUCAUGGAUAUGAUCUUAUCCUGUGGAUUCAUUCAAUUCCCUGAAUUUAUUAAUUCCGUAGAACGAUGAAGGAGGGUGCUAUAAACAUUAGGAGAUUAUACGUGUGCACAGAGUGAUGUGAUCUUAGUUGUGCAGAAAAUUAUAGUUUGCUUUCUUUUCCAAAUCAUAGCUCUGAGAGAAGCAUAUGUAGGGAACUAACCGUGCAGAAUAGAGGUCAAUUCAAAGGCCAAUAACAUAAACAGGGUGAUGCACACCCAAUAUCCUAUCAUAUUGAAUCCCAAUUGAUCAGUGGGUCGACAAUUACUGGUGUUUGGGUGUUACCACUAUUGCCAUUGGGAUCGAUGUCAACAAGGUGGAUCCGGACAAGCCUACAAGAUUUGGAAGAUUUGGCAUGCGGUACACGGAUUAACUGGAUAAGAAAAAAAUUGGGGAACACACGGAACAACUGGAAGUGAACGUGAUAGUGCGGUCUAUAUAUGCGCAGUUAUUUUUCAGAAUGCAACUUUUGAUUUUUGGCGAUCUAUGGUGUUGAUGUAAGUCAACCAUGUAUGUGUUCAUAUUUUUUUUUUAUCAAAAAACAAACUGUUUAAGCAAUCUAAGGAAAAGGGGUUCAGAUCAGUUAUACAA